CGAUUAUCGAAAUCUCGAAAUAGUAAGAUUAGUUCCGCCGGUUCGUGACAUAGUCCAGAUUCGAAAUAAAAGUCGUCGCGGAAAAGUUUGUAUAAAUGAAGAAUAUUAAUAUUAUUGUGCAUCAUCAUUGUCAUCGCCUGAUUGUCAUCGAAAUGAAAAAAGAAUUCUUCCAUAUCUACAACGAGCCGUAGUUCGAGUAUCGUCAUAAUCAUUUACCUAUGUACGUACAAUUGCGAAAGGUGGUACAACGAGUAAAGGAUCUUAGAAAACUGUCCUCGGAGAUUUUCCAAGAUUGCGGAGUAGAGACAAAGCACCGUUACUUCGUUCAGACAUAAACUGGCUGGUAUACACGUGUACUAUGGUUACUAUGUUAGAGGGAUGCAUUGUACGAACGAACGAAGAAUGAAGAAAAUUAUGCACGUACGUGUUGCAAGGCGUGUCCUAGGAUUUACUUCCGUCACAACGAUAGAUAGAAAUGACAGGAGAGAUUGCUGUUGUACAAAGCUGCGGGAUGCUUGUCGAACGCCCCUCUUCACCGUUUCAAUGCUACAAUCGUUUCGGACUACUGACAACUGUAACACCAUAGAACGACGAGCGAGAUACCCAUGAGAAUCUCAUCCCAAAUCCAUGUGGGCGUAAGACGAUGUGACGAUUACGAUUAUGAGACGUACAAUUUCUCGAAUGAAAUUUUAAACAGAGAAACAGGGCAAACGUCCAAAGGCAAAAGUAUCAUAGCGAAUCAUGAACAGAGGCAAUAAUUCUAACGUAACAAGAUCAUAUCGUGCUGUGCAACGUUCUAGCUUAAAGUCACGAAGCAAAAUCAUAUAUCGUUGCGAAUCGCUCUCUCUCUCUCUCUUUUUUAUGGACUAGUUGGAAAUUCUAAAAAAAAAGUAGUUCGUAACUUUCCCACUACGCCCACCGAUCGGUACUUUUUAAUGGAGGCAGGACCAACCUCUCUCUCUCUCUCUCUCUCUCUUUCUUUCUCUUGAAAAAAGGGUUGCCUACGAAAUUUAAACAUCCAUCAUUUCUCGUCGACGAGUUAACCUCGCAACCCCUUUUGUCCUCCUUGAUCUCCCUUCUUCUACCUGCCACGCGCCAUUAUAAUGCGAACGGUUAAACUCGCUUUAAAUUUAACUGCUCCCUUAAAACUUAAGCUAUGCUUUACGAGCGUCAACGAACAUCUCCUCCAUCGACGAUGGCGCGUACGCGCGUGUACGAUUAUUCUUGAACAAGCAGGUAACGCGUUUAGAUGUAUGCGUAAUGUAAGAGAGAGAGAGAGAGAGAGAGAGAGAGGAGAUACUUCGAAGGCGCCGUCUGUUUUUACGACCUCUCUAUCUCGCUUCGCCCUUUUGUUGCACGCCUUGGCGUACUGUAUCGACGAGGGAAAGUGCACACUAAAAUGGAGAUUGUCCCCUGGAGCAUUUACGGAUCGAAAGAUAAAUUCGUAAUCUGUUACGGGACGGCUUUUUAAGCGGCUUUUGUGUUACUAGGUGGUUCAAGAAAAUGUGAGAACACGCGUGCUGAGUUUAAGGACUCAUGAUUUCAAAUGAAAAUUUGUCUGUUAUCCAAUCGUUGUCUUUAUUACUAAAUAAAUUAUAAUACGUUGAAAAGUUUCUCGAAAUGAUCCAAAUUAUAUACAUAAAGGGAAGAUAUUAUUAUACAUAAAUGAAAAUGUCCCAUUGGAAAAUUUAUCCAAGAUGAAGGCAGUCCUUAGAAUUAUAUUUCAUACAAAGUAUAUUUUUCUCUGAAUCAUUAACUGGAAAUAGUAAAAUGUUUGAUGUAAUGCGAACGAAGUUUAACAAGACCGACACAGUAAGAUCUCGUAACCAUACACCUGGUCCAAAGUACCGGACCUUCUCUUCUGGAUAAGAAGAGCAAUAUAUAUAUAUAUAUAUAUAUAUAUAUAUACACUUAUAUAUACGAGUAAAGCAUAUAACCAACUCACAUGCAUAUAUACGUAUGUACGUAUGUAAGGUGGCUGGCUAACAUUCCAGUCCUGGAGAGUCCGAGUCUCGACCCGGCCCACCUGUUUAUCCCGAUAUGGCAUUAGCUAUUGCCGGAGAGAACACCGAAGAGCGUGUGCAUGCGCACGAUAUGAUAAUGUAAAGACAGCCAUCCGGGCAAUCGCCGUGGACUUUAGCCGCGACUAAACGAGGAUCGCUUAUCCCGCGAACAUCCGCUACCACCACCCUUCUUACUUUGUUUCUCAUGCGGCUAACCGCCGCGUUACUUUGUAUCUCCCUUCAGAUUCAGAAGAAAGAAAAUCAACCGAGAGAUAAAAAAGAAAAAAGAGAAAGAAAGAAACAAAUCGUUUGCUUUAUAAAUCCGUAAAUAAAUCAACCUUUUUAAAAGCACCUAAUAAUAUCUAGUCGAUAUCUUUCAUGAUCAUAUAAUUAAUUAAAUGUGACGUCUAUCCGAAAAGAUUUCUUAUGGUAUAGCAUAGAACAAAACUCUAUGGAUAUUCGAUAUUCGAAUUGAGGUAUGAAAUGCAAAGGUAACAAAAAAAAAAAAGGAAAAAAAAAAACAGAAAAAAAGAAAAGGCGCAAAAGAAUAAGAAAAAG